GAUCAUGGCUCAGGAUGAACGCUAGCGACAGGCUUAACACAUGCAAGUCGAGGGGCAGCACAGGUAGCAAUACCGGGUGGCGACCAGCGCACGGGUGAGUAACGCGUAUGCAACUUGCCUAUCAGAGGGGGAUAACCCGGCGAAAGUCGGACUAAUACAGCAUGAAGCAGGGGCCCCGCAUGGGGAUAUUUGCUAAAGAUUCAUCGCUGAUAGAUAGGCAUGCG
rnacentral:rRNA from 1 species